UCGAUUGAUCGGGCGAUCGGUUGGUUGGUCGGUCGGUCAGUCGGUUGGUCAGUCGGUCGGUCAGUCAGUCGGUUGGUUGGUCAUUC